UACGUAGGCAGCAAGCGUUGUUCGGAAUUACUGGGCGUAAAGAGUGUGUAGGCGGUGCUCUAAGUUUGGUGUGAAAUCUCCCGGCUCAACUGGGAGGGUGCGCCGAAAACUGGAAUGCUUGAACAUGGGAGAGGAAAGCGGACUUCCUGGUGUAGCGGUGAAAUGCGUAGAUAUCAGGAGGAACACCUGCGGUGUAGACGGCUUUCUGGACCAUUGUUGACGCUGAGACACGAAAGCGUGGGUAGCAAACAGG
rnacentral:rRNA from 1 species